rnacentral:rRNA from 1 species
GAUGAACGCUAGCGAUAGGCCUAACACAUGCAAGUCGAGGGGCAGCAUAGGGUAGCAAUACCUUGAUGGCGACCGGCGCACGGGUGAGUAACGCGUAUGCAACCUACCUAUAACAGGGGAAUAACCCGGAGAAAUUCGGACUAAUACCGCAUAAAACAGGGGCUCCGCAUGGAGAUAUUUGUUAAAGAUUUAUCGGUUAUAGAUGGGCAUGCGUUCCAUUAGCCAGUUGGUGAGGUAACGGCUCACCAAAGCGACGAUGGAUAGGGGAACUGAGAGGUUUGUCCCCCACACUGGAACUGAGACACGGACCAGACUCCUACGGGAGGCAGCAGUGAGGAAUAUUGGUCAAUGGGCGAGAGCCUGAACCAGCCAAAUCGCGUGAAGGAAGACUGCCUUAUGGGUUGUAAACUUCUUUUGUACAGGAAUAAAAAAGGGGACGUGUCCCUUAUUGCAUGUACUGUACGAAUAAGCAUCGGCUAACUCCGUGCCAGCAGCCGCGGUAAUACGGAGGAUGCGAGCGUUAUCCGGAUUUAUUGGGUUUAAAGGGUGCGCAGGCGGGCUUUUAAGUCAGCGGUGAAAUCCCGACGCUUAACGUCGGCACUGCCGUUGAAACUGGGAGUCUUGAGUAUAGAUGAAGUAGGCGGAAUUCGUUGUGUAGCGGUGACAUGCUUAGAUAUAACGAGGAACUCCGAUUGCGUAGGCAGCUUACUAAGCUAUAACUGACGCUCAAGCACGAAAGCGUGGGGAUCAAACAGGAUUAGAUACCCUGGUAGUCCACGCCGUAAACGAUGAUUACUAGUUGUAUGCGAUAUACCGUAUGUGACUAAGCGAAAGCGAUAAGUAAUCCACCUGGGGAGUACGCCGGCAACGGUG